rnacentral:misc_RNA from 1 species
GAUGAAGAACGUAGCGAAAUGCGAUAAGUAAUGUGAAUUGCAGAAUUCAGUGAAUCAUCGAAUCUUUGAACGCACCUUGCGCCCUUUGGCCAUUCCGAAGGGCAUGCCUGUUUGAGUAUCAUGAACACCUCAACUCUUUAUGGUUUUCCAUGAUGAGCUUGGACUCUGGGGGUUUUGCUGGCUCACAGUCGGCUCCUCUAAAAUGAAUCAGCUUACCAGUGUUUGGUGGGUAUCAUGGGUGUGAUAACUAUCUACGCUUGUGGUUUUUCCACCAGGUAACCUUCAGCAGUGGAGGUUCGCUGGAGCUCAUAGAUGUCUCUCCUCAGUGAGGACAGCCCUUUGAAUGUUUGAUCUCAAAUCAGGUAGGACUACCCGCUGACCUUAAGCAUAUCAAUAAGCGGAGGA